rnacentral:rRNA from 1 species
GACGAACGCUGGCGGCGUGCCUAACACAUGCAAGUCGAACGGCAAGGCCCUGCUUUUGUGGGGUGCCCGAUUGGCGAACGGGUGAGGAACACGAGAGUAUCCGGCCCUUGUCUUUGGGAUAACUUAAGGAAACUGGGGCUAAUACCGUACAGCAUCUCCUGCAGCAUGGUGGGGGUUGGAAAGUUUAGGCGGUUGGGGAUGGAUUCGCGGCUUAUCAGCUUGUUGGUGGGGUAGUGGCUUACCAAGCCAUGGACCGAUAGCCGGCCGGGGAGGGUGACCGGCCACAAGAGGACUGAGAGACGGAGCAGACUCGAACGGGAGGCAGCAGUGGGGAGUAUGGCACAGUGAUCGGAAGCCUGAUGCGGAGGCGCCGCGUGCGGAAUGACGGCCUUCGGGUUGUGAACCGCUUUCGCCUGUGACGACGCGUGAGUGACGGUAAUGAGUAAAGAAGCACCGGCUAACUACGUG